rnacentral:rRNA from 1 species
AUUGAACGCUGGCGGCAUGCCCAACACAUGCAAGUCGAACGGGGCAGCAAUGCCUAGUGGCGGACGGGUGAGGAAUACGUAGGAAUCUGCCCUUAAGUGGGGGAUAACCAGGGGAAACCCUGACUAAUACCGCAUGAUCUCUUCGGAGCAAAGAGGGGGACCGCAAGGCCUCUCGCUUCUGGAUGAGCCUACGUCUGAUUAGCUAGUUGGUAGGGUAAAGGCCUACCAAGGCGACGAUCAGUAACUGGUCUGAGAGGAUGAUCAGUCACACCGGAACGGAGACACGGGCCGGACUCCUACGGGAGGCAGCAGUGGGGAAUAUUGGACAAUGGGCGCAAGCCUGAUCCAGCAAUGCCGCGUGUGUGAAGAAGGCCUUCGGGUUGUAAAGCACUUUAGCCUGGAAAGAAGGGUAUUGGCUGAAUAAUCCAGUACUUUGACGGUACCGACAGAAUAAGCACCGGCAAACUCUGUGCCAGCCGCCGCUGUAAAAC